rfam:Steinernema glaseri strain NC contig_8018, whole genome shotgun sequence.
GGGGGUAUAGCUCAGGGGUAGAGCGCUCGCUUAGCAUGCGAGAGGGCUGGGGUUCGAUUUCCCAUACCUCCA